CUUGACCUCAAAAAGUCUCUUCAGAGCUGCUGUGCCCAGUGGUGCUUCAACUGGUAUCUGUGCGGUCCUAGAACUCCAGGACAAUAAUAAGACUCACCAUAUGGGGAAGGGUGUCUCAAAGGCUGUUGAGUACAUCAAUAAAACUAUUGCACCUGCCCUGGUUAGAAAAAAACUGAACGUCACAGAACAAGAGAAGAUUGACCAACUGAUGAUCGAGAUGGAUGGAACAGAAAAUAAAUCUCAAUUUGUGGGAACGCUAUUCUGGGGUUUCCCUCGCCGCCUGCAAAGCUGGCGCUGUUGUGAAGGGGGUUCCCCUGUACCACCGCAUUGCCGACUUGCCUGGCAACCCCAAAGUCGUCUUGCCAGUCCUGGUGUUCAAUGUCAUCAAUGGCAGUUCUCAUGCUGGCAACAAGCUGGCCAACAAGCUGGCCACCAGUCGGUGUGGCAAACUUCAGGAAGCCAUGCCCAGUGGAGCAGAGGUUUACCACAACCUGAAGAAUGUCAUCAAGGAGAAAUAAGGGAAAGAUGCCACCAGCGUGGGGGAUGGAGGCGCAUUUGCUGCCAACAUCCUGGAGAAUAAAGAAGGCCUGGAGCUGCUGAAGACUGCGAUUGGGAAAGCUGGCUACACUGAUGAGGUGAUCAUCGGCAUGGACGCAGCGGCCUCCGAGUUCUUCAGGUCUGGGAAGUAUGACCUGGAAUUCAGGUCUCCCGAUGACCCCAUAAGGUACAUCUCACCUGACCAUCUGGCUGAUCUGUCCAAGUCCUGCAUCAAAAACUACCCAGUGGUGUCUGUCAAAGGUCCCUUUGACCAGGAUGACUGGGGAGCUUGGCAGAAGUUCACGGCCAGUGCAGGAAUCCAGGUAGUGAGGGAUGGUCUCACAGUGACCAGCCCAAAGAGGACGGCCGAGGCGGUGAAUGAGAAGGCGUGCAGCUGCCUCCUGCUCAAAGUGAACCAGAUUUGCUCCAUGACUGAGUCCCUCCGGGCGUGCAAGCUGGCCCAGGCCAGUGGUUGGGGUGUCAUGGUGUCUCAUCCUUCUGGGGAGACUGAAAAUACCUUCAUUGCUGACGUGGUGGUGGGGCUGUGCCCUGGCAGCUCAAGACUGGUGCCCCUUGCUGAUCUGAGCGCUUGGCCAAGUACAACCAGCUCCUCAGAACUGAAGAGGAGCUUGGCAGCAAGGCUAAGUUUGCUGGCAGGAACUUCAGAAACCCCCCGGCCAACUAAGCUGUGGGCAGGCAAGCCCUUCAGCCACCUGGUGGCUAAUUAGACCCCUCCCCUCGUGUCAGCUCGGGCAGCCGAAGGCCCCUGACCAACGUUUGUAGGGGCCGCUGCUAGUGAGCUCCCCUCGCCCACCGCCGUGGAGUUUGCACCGCUUCUUUAGAACUUCUACAGAAGCAGGUUGCAGUGAGCCGAGAUCAUGCCACUGCACUCCAGUCUGGUGACAGAGCGAGACUCCAUCUC